rnacentral:lncRNA from 1 species
CAGCCCCGUUCCCGCCUUCCUUCUGCGCAGACUCCGUGCCUGCCAGCCCCGUUCCCGCCUUCCUUCUGCGCAGGCUCCGUGCCUGCCGCGCCGCGUUCCCGCCUUCCUUCUGCGCAGACUCCGUGCCUGCCGCGCCCCGUUCCCGCCUUCCUUCUGCGCAGGCUCCGUGCCUGCCGCGCCCCGUUCCCGCCUUCCUUCCGCGCAGGCUCCGUGCCUGCCGCGCCCUGUUCCCGCCUUCCUUCUGCGCACGCUCCGUGCCUGCCCGCCGUAGGCCAGGUCGGUGAGAGAUGAGAGAAGCUUCCAAAUACCAAACUGAUCCAACCACCGACGUGGCGGGCGAGACGCAGCGUGGGCAGGUCCGGGAGCUCCUUGGAGCCUGAGAUGCCUCCUCCCGGGUGCAUGGAUAGCGGAGAGGGACCUAGCGUUGCACCUGCUCCAGGCUCCAGAGCUGGAGCUCACCGUGGCUCCUCCGCCUUUGAACUGAGAUCGCGCUGCUGUACUCCAGCCUGGGUGACAGAGGGAAACCCUGUCUCAAAAAGAGAAAGAAGAAAGGAAGGGAGGGACGGACUUCAGCAAGUACCCAGCAUCCGAUCACUGCUCACAGCCUCCACCCCGGCCUCCACCCUGGCCUCCACCCCGGCCUCCAUCCUGGCCUCGCUGGUCCAAGCCGCCGCUGCCUCAGGCCUGGACUGGUGCCGUAGCCAGCAGCUGCCAAGCUCGCCCUCUGUGGGACAGCCUACAUGACCGUGGCGCCCCUGCUGUGCUGUACUGUGCACUCCCACGCUUGAAUGUGUCAGGGGAGCGUGGCUCAUCUUGAAUGAAUAGAAAAUGGCAAAAGCAGUGGGGUGUCACUUCUAAAUCCGGUCACAGAAAAACCCCGUGUCGUCUUGCUCACCCCCUUGCUCGCUCUCCCACUGUCUGGUGAAGCCAGAGGCUGUGCCGAAACCUGCACAUGGGGCAAGAGGCGGAGGGUGACGUCCAGCUAAAAGCUGGCAAGGAACUGAGGCCCCAGAGACCAGAAUCCUGCCCAGAGCCAUAUACCCGAGCUUGGAGGCCAGUUCUUCCCCAGUGGAGCUGUCAGAUGAGACCCCAACCCAGCUGGGCCUGUGAGAUUCUGAGCCUGGGGGUCCAGCCAAGCCACACCAAUCAUGGAUACGUGGAACACUGGAGCUGAUAAGUGCGUGCUGUUUUCAGCUGCCACGUGUGGACCAUUUGUGAGGCAGGAGGAAGCAGAUGCCACAGGCCCACCCUGCAGUCUCCCCCACAGCCAGCGUGACUGUUAAAACCCAGAUCCGCCCACAGCACUUCCUGCUCAUGGCUCCUAGCAGCUCCCCC